rnacentral:rRNA from 1 species
GCACCACAAGAGCGUGGAGUAUGUGGCUUAAUUUGACUCAACGCGGAAAAGCUUAUCUGGUCCGGACACAGUGAGGAUUGACAGACAGUUAGACAGAAGUGAGGUUUUGGUAACAAUUGAGAGAGUUGAAGUUCUUUCAUGAUCUUGUGAGAGGUGGUGCAUGGCCGUUCUUAGUUCGUGUAGUGAUAUGUCUGCCUAAUCGCGUCACGAUAACCUAUUGGUCGACAACCCAAUUAUCACAACUGCAGCAUAACUCCCCUUGGGUGGGCGAGGCUCUGUGUAGGAUAGACCUCUGAACAGUACGCAACGAACGCGAUCGUAAUCCCUUGUUGAGUGGCCAUCCUGUAAGCUGCUGGAUUAGGAACCCAGUGGUAUUAUCUCAGCCACAGAUUUUCUGGUUGUAGUGGGCCAGUUUUGAAACUCGGGGAACAUCUGUGACUUUCUUUCUUAACGCAGAGGAAGGUUA